rnacentral:rRNA from 1 species
AGAGUUUGAUCCUGGCUCAGGAUGAACGCUAGCUACAGGCUUAACACAUGCAAGUCGAGGGGCAUCAGGAAGAAAGCUUGCUUUCUUUGCUGGCGACCGGCGCACGGGUGAGUAACACGUAUCCAACCUGCCCUUUACUCGGGGAUAGCCUUUCGAAAGAAAGAUUAAUACCCGAUAGCAUAAUGAUUCCGCAUGGUUUCAUUAUUAAAGGAUUCCGGUAAAGGAUGGGGAUGCGUUCCAUUAGGUUGUUGGUGAGGUAACGGCUCACCAAGCCUUCGAUGGAUAGGGGUUCUGAGAGGAAGGUCCCCCACAUUGGAACUGAGACACGGUCCAAACUCCUACGGGAGGCAGCAGUGAGGAAUAUUGGUCAAUGGGCGCUAGCCUGAACCAGCCAAGUAGCGUGAAGGAUGAAGGCUCUAUGGGUCGUAAACUUCUUUUAUAUAAGAAUAAAGUGCAGUAUGUAUACUGUUUUGUAUGUAUUAUAUGAAUAAGGAUCGGCUAACUCCGUGCCAGCAGCCGCGGUAAUACGGAGGAUCCGAGCGUUAUCCGGAUUUAUUGGGUUUAAAGGGAGCGUAGGUGGACUGGUAAGUCAGUUGUGAAAGUUUGCGGCUCAACCGUAAAAUUGCAGUUGAUACUGUCAGUCUUGAGUACAGUAGAGGUGGGCGGAAUUCGUGGUGUAGCGGUGAAAUGCUUAGAUAUCACGAAGAACUCCGAUUGCGAAGGCAGCUCACUGGACUGCAACUGACACUGAUGCUCGAAAGUGUGGGUAUCAAACAGGAUUAGAUACCCUGGUAGUCCACACAGUAAACGAUGAAUACUCGCUGUUUGCGAUAUACAGUAAGCGGCCAAGCGAAAGCAUUAAGUAUUCCACCUGGGGAGUACGCCGGCAACGGUGAAACUCAAAGGAAUUGACGGGGGCCCGCACAAGCGGAGGAACAUGUGGUUUAAUUCGAUGAUACGCGAGGA